GUUGUAAAGCGCUUUUGUCUGGGAGCAAAUCCUGGCCUCUAAUACAGGUCGGGGAUGAGAGUACCAGAAGAAUAAGGACCGGCUAACUACGUGCCAGCAGCCGCGGUAAUACGUAGGGUCCAAGCGUUAAUCGGAAUUACUGGGCGUAAAGCGUCCGCAGAUGGCUUGAUAAGAUAGACGUGAAAUCCCUGGGCUCAACCUAGGAAUUGCGUUUAUGACUGUCUCGCUAGAGUAUGGGAGAGGGGGGUGGAAUUCCACGUGUAGCAGUGAAAUGCGUAGAGAUGUGGAGGAACACCGAUGGCGAAGGCAACCCCCUGGCCUAAUACUGACACUCAUGGACGAAAGCGUGGGGAGCAAACAGGAUUAGAUACCCUGGUAGUCCACGCCCUAAACGAUGUCUACUAGUUGUUGGGCUUUUCGGAGCUUAGUAACGCAGCUAACGCGUGAAGUAGACCGCCUGGGGAGUACGGUCGCAAGACUAAAACUCAAAGGAAUUGACG
rnacentral:rRNA from 1 species